rnacentral:rRNA from 1 species
UGAUACCCUAUUAUUUUAAAUGUAAAUCUUUCUGUUUAGUAUUAUUAGUUUAGUCUUUAAAUUAAAAGAAUUUGACGGUAAUUUGAUCAUUUCAGAGGAACCUGUCCUGUAAUUGAUAAUCCACGAUAAAUUUUACCUUAAUUUAUUGUUUGUAUAUCUCUGUUUAUGAGUAUUUUAUUAGAAUUUAUUUAUAUUCUCUUUAUAUUAAUAUUUUAAUAUAUAUCAGGUCAAGGUGCAGCUAUAUUAAGGGUUGAGAUGGGUUACAUUUAAUUUAAUAUUUAUGGAUUAUUUAGUUUUAUUAUUAAAAUGAAAUUGGAUUUGAAUGUAAUAAUUAUUAU